rnacentral:lncRNA from 1 species
UUUAUUAACCUAGCCCCAGCUACCAACAAACAGCUGCUGCGAAACCUUCUGCAGGUUUCCAACAAAAGCCCCUGUUUAUGUAACGUAUUCUCAACUCUUAGUCAUCAAACUUUUAUCUCAUCUGAAAGAGAGGCCAUUCGUAGCUUGGAAAAUGAGCCAAAAAUGAGUUGAUAAUUGGGGGUGAUUCCUCUCAACUGACUUUUAACCAUAAGUGGGGGUGGGGGGGUAGUAAUGGUAAAGAAAACAAACUUUUGGAAAUCUGCAAUGAGGUGUCUGAAUCAACAAGAACGCCUUAAAAUAAAAAAUAAACAAACGUGCUAGAGGGCCCUGGGACCGCAGUUCUUAGUUACACAUCUGUUCUGCAGCGGGACGAGGAAGUUAAUCGCUUCCCCGUGACACGCAUGCAUUUUGUGAGACACUGCACUGUACCAGUUAAUAAUGAUCUACGUUCUGUUGACACAAGAUGUUUACAUAAAUAAAAAUCUAAAUGAUACAGCUCAUAACAAAGCGUAUUCUGUUAAAAGGCUGGAUGGCGGGAGUAGUCAUUUUCCCGGGUAAAAAUUAUUGGGAUGAGCUUAUGGUAGCAUGAAAAGCUCAGUCAAUAGAGGGGCUUGUGCAGGCAAAUUGUUUUCAAGUGUCUAUACUUCAAAGAAAGGGUAGGCUUGGCUGCUCGAAUUGCUAAUAGAGUGGCAUUGGAAUUGGUACAGAAAGCAACGGAGACUGAUGGCCAAUCCCUGCCCGUAAUUGACAAUAUUAGCAAUUUUCCAUUUCAGCCUGUCUGUUCGGUCUUUACCGUCUGUAAUGACAAAUGCAGAAAGGGCAUAAGCAACCUCGUGAGGCUCUGCUAUGAACAUUAAAAAUCUUCCUGCUCUUUGCUGAGUGCACCCUUGGUAACCAGAUAUCCAACCAAUGGCAUUAUGGAAACGGUUUAUUCUUCCCAAACUAUAGAAUGUGAUUAGAUUUCCUCCAAAGAAUCCAGAUGACACCUAGAGCAGGCGCCCAGCACUAAGAUUCAGGGGCACUGUCCAAAGAAAGCUGACAGCAAGGUCUUGUUCAAGCCCUGAAACCACCCAAAGAAAAGUCUGAAACCCAGGACACCCUGAAAUAAUUUUGCUAUUUUCCACAUAUCUGGGGGAAAAGAACAAAGUGGUUGACGACCUUUCUUUCAUUUUUAAACUUCCCCUCUCACUGCUUUUUCUGCCAUUCUAUCUGGCUUUAGGAACAGAACAAAAACAGUAUGGAAAUAUCUCAGAAAACUAAAUCUAGAACUAGCCUCUGACCCAGCAAUCCCACUCCUGGGCAUAUAUCCAGACAAAACUUGCAUUCAAAAAGACACAUGCACCCCUACAUUCACUGCAGCACUAUUCACAAGAGCCAAGACAUGGAAACAGCCUAAAUGCCCAUCGACAGAUGAAUGGAUUAAGACGAUGUGGUACAUCUACACAAUGGAACACGACUCAGCCACUAAAAAGAGCAAAAUAAUGCCACUUGCAGCAGCGUGGAUGCAACUAGAGACUCUCAGGCUAAGUGAAGUAGGUCCAAAAGAGAGAGACAAAUACCAUAUGAUUUCACUUAUUUCUGGAAUCUAGUAUACGGCACAAAUGAACCUAUCUACAGAAAAGAAACAAACUCAUGGACUUGGAGACCAGACUUGUGGUUCCGGGGGGUGGGGAGGGAUCGAGAAGGACUGGAAAUUUGGGGUGAGUAGAUGCAAACUAUUGCCUUAGGAGCACAUAAGUGAUGAGAUCCUGCUGUAGAGCCCUGGGAACUGUAUCUAGUCACUUGUGAUGGAACAUGACGGAGGAUGAUGUGAGAAAGAGAAUGUAUAUAUAUCUGUGUGUGUGUGUGUGUGUGUGUGUGACUGGGUCGCUGUGCUGUACAGCAGAAAUUGACAGAAUGCUGUAAAUCAACUAUAAUGGAAAGAAUAAAAAUCUUACAAAAAAAAAAAAAAAAGAGAGAGAACAAAAACGACAAUAUUGACACUGAAGUCCAGGAGAACACCACGUGUCCUGUGUACUAAUUUUUCCUUUUUGGGUGAUGAUAAUGACGGGCCAGGGAAGACAAUUCCUUUUUUUCUGACCACUCGACAUCUUUAGUCAAUGAGCCCAACAUAAAAGGGCAUGAUUGGAUAAGAAAUUAGAUCUCAACCUAACAGGCUUAACCCUUUCCUCACCCUUGCCGACUUCUGGCUUGCUUUCUAGAACUUCAGGUAACAGGGUCUUCUCUUAGGCCUUUGAGUACAUAGCAGGCACUCAGCAAAUGCCUGUUGAUCACGGGUCAUGGUAAUCCACAGAAGAAAGGGAAAAUGGCCCGAACCCAGAGUCAGUGAUGUAAAAAUAAAUACUCAUUUUAUAGGGUAAAAUUCUUUUUUUAGAGGUGGAAUGUGUGAUUUAUUUAUUUAUUUAUUUUGCUUUUUAGAGCCACACCCAUGGCAUAUGGAGGUUCCCAGGCUAGGGGUUGAAUUGGAGCUGCAGCUGCCAGCCUAAGACACAGCCACAGAAACAUGGGGUCCAAGCCACGUCGGUGACCUACACCAUAGCUCGCGGCAACACCAGAUCCUUAACCCACUGAGCGAGGCCAGGGAUCGAACCCGAAACCUCAUGGUUCCUUGUGGGAUUCAUUUCCGCUGGACCUAUUUCAGUCAAGGUACACCAGAAUUUGUGGACUGGGAAGCUUCUUGGGAAUUCAACCCAUCUUCAGAUGGGAAAGACUUUGUUCCUAGAAGAGGCCCCACAAAGCUAAUGCCACCAUUCCCUAAAAAAGAAAGUUUGGGUGUUUCCUUUGUGACUCAGUGGUUAACAACCUCAACUAGGAUCCACAAGGAUGUGGGUUCGAUCCCUGGCCUUGCUCACUGGGUUAAGGAUCCAGCGUUGCUGUGGCUGUGGCGUAGGUCGGCACACGCAGCUCCCAUUCGACCCUGAGCCUGGGAACUUCCAUAUGCCGAAGGUACAACCCUAAAAA